rnacentral:rRNA from 1 species
AGUAGAACGCUGAAGAGGAGGAGCUUGCUCUUCUUGGAUGAGUUGCGAACGGGUGAGUAACGCGUAGGUAACCUGCCUUGUAGCGGGGGAUAACUAUUGGAAACGAUAGCUAAUACCGCAUAACAAUGGAUGACCCAUGUCAUUUAUUUGAAAGGGGCAAAUGCUCCACUACAAGAUGGACCUGCGUUGUAUUAGCUAGUAGGUGAGGUAACGGCUCACCUAGGCGACGAUACAUAGCCGACCUGAGAGGGUGAUCGGCCACACUGGGACUGAGACACGGCCCAGACUCCUACGGGAGGCAGCAGUAGGGAAUCUUCGGCAAUGGGGGCAACCCUGACCGAGCAACGCCGCGUGAGUGAAGAAGGUUUUCGGAUCGUAAAGCUCUGUUGUAAGUCAAGAACGAGUGUGAGAGUGGAAAGUUCACACUGUGACGGUAGCUUACCAGAAAGGGACGGCUAACUACGUGCCAGCAGCCGCGGUAAUACGUAGGUCCCGAGCGUUGUCCGGAUUUAUUGGGCGUAAAGCGAGCGCAGGCGGUUUGAUAAGUCUGAAGUUAAAGGCUGUGGCUCAACCAUAGUUCGCUUUGGAAACUGUCAAACUUGAGUGCAGAAGGGGAGAGUGGAAUUCCAUGUGUAGCGGUGAAAUGCGUAGAUAUAUGGAGGAACACCGGUGGCGAAAGCGGCUCUCUGGUCUGUAACUGACGCUGAGGCUCGAAAGCGUGGGGAGCGAACAGGAUUAGAUACCCUGGUAGUCCACGCCGUAAACGAUGAGUGCUAGGUGUUGGAUCCUUUCCGGGAUUCAGUGCCGCAGCUAACGCAUUAAGCACUCCGCCUGGGGAGUACGACCGCAAGGUUGAAACUCAAAGGAAUUGACGGGGGCCCGCACAAGCGGUGGAGCAUGUGGUUUAAUUCGAAGCAACGCGAAGAACCUUACCAGGUCUUGACAUCCCGAUGCUAUUUCUAGAGAUAGAAAGUUACUUCGGUACAUCGGUGACAGGUGGUGCAUGGUUGUCGUCAGCUCGUGUCGUGAGAUGUUGGGUUAAGUCCCGCAACGAGCGCAACCCCUAUUGUUAGUUGCCAUCAUUCAGUUGGGCACUCUAGCGAGACUGCCGGUAAUAAACCGGAGGAAGGUGGGGAUGACGUCAAAUCAUCAUGCCCCUUAUGACCUGGGCUACACACGUGCUACAAUGGUUGGUACAACGAGUUGCGAGUCGGUGACGGCAAGCUAAUCUCUUAAAGCCAAUCUCAGUUCGGAUUGUAGGCUGCAACUCGCCUACAUGAAGUCGGAAUCGCUAGUAAUCGCGGAUCAGCACGCCGCGGUGAAUACGUUCCCGGGCCUUGUACACACCGCCCGUCACACCACGAGAGUUUGUAACACCCGAAGUCGGUGAGGUAACC